rnacentral:tmRNA from 1 species
GGGGCUGAUUCUGGAUUCGACGGGAUUCGCGAAACCCAAGGUGCAUGCCGAGGGGCGGUUGGCCUCGUAAAAAGCCGCAAAAAAAUAGUCGCAAACGACGAAAACUACGCUUUAGCAGCUUAAUAACCUGCUUAGAGCCCUCUCUCCCUAGCCUCCGCUCUUAGGACGGGGAUCAAGAGAGGUCAAACCCAAAAGAGAUCGCGUGGAUGCCCUGCCUGGGGUUGAAGCGUUAAAACUAAUCAGGCUAGUCUGGUAGUGGCGUGUCCGUCCGCAGCUGCCAGGCGAAUGUAAAGACUGGACUAAGCAUGUAGUACCGAGGAUGUAGGAAUUUCGGACGCGGGUUCAACUCCCGCCAGCCCAAAA